UACGUAGGGUGCAAGCGUGUCCGGAAUUAUUGGGCGUAAAGAGCUCGUAGGCGGGUUUGUCGCGUCUGCUGUGAAAACGCGGGGCUCAACUCCGCGCCUGCAGUGGGGUACGGGCAGACUAGAGUGCAGUAGGGGAGACUGGAAUUCCUGGUGUAGCGGGUGGAAUGCGCAGAUAUCAGGGAGGGAACACCCGGUGGGCGAAAGGCGGGGUCUCUGGGGCUGU
rnacentral:rRNA from 1 species